rnacentral:lncRNA from 1 species
GGAAGUCGUGAAUGGUAAGUCGUGAGUGGGUACGGAGGGAACGCCGGGGUGGGGGAGGGGGUACUCCUAGGUGGAAAGGUUCAGGGAGACAGGUGGGGGAACCCGGGAGCACACCCAGGGCGGGUCUUGGUGCUCAGGGGCCCUCGCCUCACUUGCAGGUUUCGAGGCGGCUGGCAGCCGCCCCCCCACCCCAUGCCCUUUGGGUGGCACCUGUGCUGGUGGAGUGGGGGUGGCUGGCUUUGCACACAGGCCUGCUCCUGUACCGUGCUGCGACAGCCAUGAAGGAAGAACCUGGCUGAGUCUCCACCUGCCGUGGACUGUACCAGGUGCUUAGGGCAGCAGGUUGGCCUGGGCGCUGAGGGGCCAUCCCUUCCCCUAUGUUUCUCCCAGGAUCCCCCAUCCCCGCCCAAAGUGCCACCUUGCAGGGUUGGGGCGGGGCAGGGUCCCCCCAGCCUGCCCCCGUGGGAGUCGGGAGAGUUAAAGUUCAGUGGAAGCUGGUCCCAGUGGCUCAUGCCUGUAAUCCCAGCACUUUGGGAGGCCAGGGCAGGCGGGUGGCUUGUGCUCAGGGGUUCCAGACCAGCCUGGGCAACAUAGCAAGACACUUUCUCUACAAAAAUUAGAAAAAUGAGCCAGGCAUGGUGGCGCUCACCUGUAGUCUCAGCUACUUGGGAGGCUGAGGUGGGAGGAUCACUUGAGCCUGGGAGUUAGAGGCCGCAGUGAGCCAAGAUGGCACCACUGCACUCCAGCCCGGGUGACAACAAGAUCUUGUCUCAAAAAAAGUGUCCUGGAGACUUGCAGUUGAGUUUGAUGCACCCUCAUCCACUCAUUCAUUCACUCACUCAUUCAUUCACUCACUCAUUCAUUCACUCACUCAUUCUGGGACCAGAUGGCUAAGCCCCUUGGCAAGGCCCAGUUGGGGUUGGGGGCUGUGGAGCAGGUGAGAGGCGCCCACUCCAACAGGGCUCUUAGGACUUUAGGGAGAGAAAGGAGCCUGUUCCCGGCAGAGGGACCUGCAGAGACCAGGACAGGAUGCUUGGGCCACGGGGCAGAUGGGCACCAGGACCCACCCUUCUUUUCCUAAGGGGGUCCCUCAUGUAGGAAGUUUCCUCCUAACAGGCAAAGCAAGGGGCCUCCACCCUGUGCCCUCAGACCUUAGGGGUCCCUGGCUGUAGGAGACAAGACACCAACUGCACCUGGGGCAGAAGGAGACAGGGCACCCAGAGCCUUCUUCCUGGCCCUGAUCAUGUGGCCAGCCAAGGUUCUAAGGGGCGCUGCCGCCAGGCUGCCGUUGCAGGUAAAGAAGCCGCGUGGGUAGAGUGGCUGAAGGGGGCCUUGCCCGCAGGAGGCACUCAGAGGCCUUGGGCCACCUCGUUCAGUCUGUGUCUUCAGGGAGCCCAGAGGGCUGGGAGGAUCAGUGCCCACCCAGUGGCAGGGAUGGUUGGUGCCAGCAGGCUGUGAUCCUGGAGUGCUCCAGUGUGAGGGACAGAGGGUAUGGCAUACCCUCAUGAGUCUCCACUCUGGGUCCCCUGUCAGGGCCUCCCCUCCCCAGCUCAGGAGGGAGUGCCCUCCUCUGCCCAGCCUGGAAGGUGCCCUAGACACCUGGACCUAGGCAGGGGGAGGUGGCCAGUGGCCGUGGGUGGUUGCUGGUUGGCAUGUUGGGGAGAGUUUCUGUCCAGAACUUCCAUGCCCUCAGUGUCCCUGCCUUGAUGACCAGGGCCAGAAACAGCUUGCUGUGACCAGGGGCUGGCUCCUCUCAGUUUUGCCUGUGAACACACACAUGUACACUUGUGGCUGGGCCACAGCUCAGGGGCUUCAAGCUGUGGAUCUUCUUGGGGCUCCAGGAAGGACAGGGGAGGAGCUGCCCCUGGGCUCCAAGCCAGCACUCCCACCCUACGUAACCAGAGCGACACCCCUUCUCCAGGAAGCACAGGGCCCUCUGAGAUUUCGCUGGAACCAGGAGUUCAGAUGCUUCCACUGACCGUGACCCUAGUGGGGCCCCCCAGGUGCUGGCUUUUGCCCACGCUGGGACAGGAUCAGUGAGCACCUCUGGGUAAGAGGUCCCUGAAGACAUAGCUGUCUGCUAUCCCCCGGCCUGGGGGAAGGCAUGAUCUCCGCCCCUGGGACUCUCUAGAGCCCAGAAGGAGCUGACCGAGGAGCCCAGAUUGGCUGGGAGAGUGUCGGUGCAGAAGCAUUGCCCGUCGAAGAGGAAAAAGGCCAAGAACCCAGCAGGAAGCCCAGGUGUGGUGGAAAAGAGGGGGCAGGGGCAGGAGAGAGCCUGGGGGUCUGGGGAUUAGAGACCAGAGUGAGGAACGCACCUCAGGAGCAAAGUUUAGGGGGCACCCAAAAACUCAGCAGUUAUGCCCAUCCACAGAUAAACCAUCAACAGGAUGUGAUCUGUCCAUACGAUGCAAUGGUAUUGGUCCAUACACAGGACCAAAGCUCUGACCACACUAUAACAUGCAUGACACAUGCUACCACAUGGAUGACACAUGAAAAUAUGCUCAGUGAAAGACACAGAAGGCCACAGAGUGUGUGAUUCCACUUGUAUGAAAUGUCUGGAACAGACAAAUCCACGGGACAGAGCACAGGUGGAGGGCCAGAGCCGGGAGAGGGGCAAGUGGGGGCAGUGCAGAAGGGGCACAGGGCGUCUUCCUGGGGGGAGGAAACUUCCCUGAAUUAGCUAGAGGUGAUGGCUGCCCACCCUGGUGAAGAUGCUAAAACACUAAGCUGUACCCUUUAAAGUGGUGAACUUCAUGGCAUGUGACUUAUAUCUCAAUAAAAUUGUUAAAAACAGUAAUCGGCCGGGCGCAGUGGCUCACGCCUGUAAUCCCAGCACUUUGGGAGGCCAAGGGGGGCGGACCGCGAGGUCAGGAGUUCGAGACCAGCCUGGCCAACAUGGUGAAGCCCCGUAUCUACUAAAAAUACAAAAAUUAACCAGACAUGGUGGCAGGCGCCUGUAAUCCCAGCUACUAGGGAAGCUGAGGCAGGAGAAUUGCUUGAAACCAGAAGGCGGAACUUGCAGUGAGCCGAGAUGGCGCCACUGCACAUAUGUCUGUGCAUAUGUGUAGAUGUGUGUGUGUGGGCGGGGUCGCCCCCUCCAGAUGCUCCAGGGGAGGGUCCUUCCUGCCUCUUCCGGCUACUGGUGGCCCUAGGCCUUCCUGGGCCUGUGGCUGCGCAGCCCCAACCUCUGCCUGCAUCGUCACAUAGUCGUGUGCGUGUGUGUGUACGUGUCUAUGUGUGUGUAUGCAUGUGUGUCUGUGCAUAUGUGUAGAUGUGUGUGUCUUGGUAUGUAUAUGUGUGUCUGUGUGUGUCUGUCUUGGUAGGUAUAUGUGUGUGUGCAUGUUCAGUUGCGUGUGUUGGUGUGUGCAUAUGUGCAUAGAGGUAGGUGUGUAUCGGUUUGUGUGUGCAUGUGUGUCUGCAUAUGUGUAGGCACGUGUGUCGGUGUUGGUAUGUGUACAUGUGUGUGCAUGUGUGUGUGUUGGUGUGUCUGCAUGUGUAUGUGCAUAUGUGUAGGUGUGUUGGCAUGUGUGUGCAUGUGUGUUGGUGUGUAUGUGUGUGCAUAUGUGUAGGUGUGUGUUGGUUUGUGUGUCUGCAUAUGUGUAGGCAUGUGUGUGUUGGUGUGGAUGUGUGUGCAUAUGUGGUGUGUGUGCAUGUGUAGGUGUGUGUGCAUGUGUCUUUGCAUAUGUGUAGGUGUGUUGGUAUGUGUGCAUGUAUGUGUACACAGGUGUGUGUGCAUGUCUGUGCAUAUCCAUAGGUGUGUCUGUGUGUGUUGGUAUAUGUGUGUCUGUGUUGGUAUGUAGGGGUGUGUGCAUGUGUGUGCAUAUGUGUAGGUGCGUGUGUGUCUGUGCGUGUGUGUGUGUCCGUCCUCUCCUCUCGUUAUCAGGCCCCAGUCAUUGCAUUAGGACCCCCUGCUCCAGUCUGGCCUCCUCUUGAUCACAGCUGCAAGGACCCUACUUCCAACUGAGGUCCCAAUUCACAGGUAUCAGGGUCAGGACUUGAACAUAUUUUGGGGGGACACAAUUCAACCCCCGAUGGGAGUGCAGGGCAUGGGAGGGAGGAGGGAGGCAAAGUGGGGAACAUGCAGCUGUCAGGACAAGGUCAGCACCUUCCCAAAUUCUUCCUGCAGAUGUCUGAAUCCCAAUUAGCCAGUUAUAAUAGCGUUUCUGCAAGUGUAGCUGCCGGGACUCAGCACCCAAAUCUGCCUGCUGGGCACCACAGUAGGCACUGCAGAGCCCCAAGGAUGCCCCUGCCUGGCUGGGCCUCACCCUGCAGUGGGCACCCCCCCAUUCUGCCACAUGCCCCUCCACCAUCUUGGCCCUCUUAGAGGCAUCUCUAGGGUGCUUGGGCCCCUCCAGCCCCAGCCCCAGCCCUGUACCCACAGGCACCCAGGAGGUAACAGAGCUGGGUGCUCUUCCAGGCUGAGGCAGCAGGGCCCUCAGGCAGGAGGGGCAGCUGGUGCCUCUUAGCCUCCAGCCCUGGCCUCCCCCUUGCCCCGCAGUUGUUUCAGGCAGGAAGGUGGGCAGUGCCAACCCUGCGGGGGUCAGUGAGACCUGAACCUCCCCAAGGGGGCAGUGCCUGUCUAGUGCGGGGACAAGGGGCAUAAUACUGUCAUCCAGAGCUAUGAAGUGGUCCUUGUGGCCCUUCCAGGCCGGCGUAGCCCAUAGUCGGGGCCAGUGACCUGGGGGCAGGGCUGGAGGCCAGGAGGGGCGGCUCUGAACAGAAAUGAAGCCGAAAGGGCCGCCCAGGGGACAGGCCAUCUGUCAGCUCAGGGCAGGUGCUGGUUCCGGGAGCUUUGGAGAACACUGCAUCUGCCAGCCCGCCCUCCAGCCCAGAGAUCCCACGCCAGGCUCCCCAGGCCUUGUGGCCCAGGCGGGCCAGGGGCAGGUCCCCAGCCUGAGCUGCUCACACUGCAGAUGCUUCCAGACGCUGGUUUCUUUGGGUCUCGUUUUAUUAAAAGCAUGAUUUCCCACUCCACAUAUUUCCUUUUUUUUGAGAUGGAGUCUCACUCUGUUACCUAGGCUGGAGUGCAGUG